rnacentral:rRNA from 1 species
CACGUAGGGGGCAAGCGUUGUCCGGAUUUAUUGGGCGUAAAGAGCUCGUAGGCGGCUUGUCGCGUCGUCCGUGAAAACUUGGGGCUCAACCCCAAGCUUGCGGUCGAUACGGGCAGGCUAGAGUUCGGUAGGGGAGACUGGAAUUCCUGGUGUAGCGGUGAAAUGCGCAGAUAUCAGGAGGAACACCGGUGGCGAAGGCGGUUCUCUGGGCCGAUACUGACGCUGAGGAGCGAAAGCGUGGGGAGCGAACAGG